rnacentral:tRNA from 1 species
GUCUUCAUGGUGUUGUUGAGCACACUAGGUUUUCGUCCUAGAGGAACAAAAAUUUUUGUUGGGGAUU